rnacentral:rRNA from 1 species
ACGAACGCUGGCGGCGUGCUUAACACAUGCAAGUCGAACGGAAAGGCCCUGCUUUUGUGGGGUGCUCGAGUGGCGAACGGGUGAGUAACACGUGAGUAACCUGCCCUUGACUUUGGGAUAACUUCAGGAAACUGGGGCUAAUACCGGAUAGGAGCUCCUGCUGCAUGGUGGGGGUUGGAAAGUUUCGGCGGUUGGGGAUGGACUCGCGGCUUAUCAGCUUGUUGGUGGGGUAGUGGCUUACCAAGGCUUUGACGGGUAGCCGGCCUGAGAGGGUGGCCGGCCACAUUGGGACUGAGAUACGGCCCAGACUCCUACGGGAGGCAGCAGUGGGGAAUAUUGCACAAUGGGCGGAAGCCUGAUGCAGCAACGCCGCGUGCGGGAUGACGGCCUUCGGGUUGUAAACCGCUUUCGCCUGUGACGAAGCGUGAGUGACGGUAAUGGGUAAAGAGGCACCGGCUAACUACGUG